rnacentral:rRNA from 1 species
UACGAAGGACCCGAGCGUUAUCCGGAUUCAUUGGGUUUAAAGGGUGCGUAGGCGGUAUAGUAAGUCAGUGGUGAAAUCCUGCAGCUUAACUGCAGAACUGCCAUUGAUACUGCUAAACUUGAGUACAACUGAUGUGGGCGGAAUAUGACAUGUAGCGGUGAAAUGCUUAGAUAUGUCAUAGAACACCGAUUGCGAAGGCAGCUCACAAAAUUGUUACUGACGCUGAGGCACGAAAGCAUGGGGAUCGAACAGG